rnacentral:rRNA from 2 species
GCUUGUCUCAAAGAUUAAGCCAUGCAUGUCUAAGUAUAAGCAAUUAUACAGCGAAACUGCGAACGGCUCAUUAUAUAAGUUAUCGUUUAUUUGAUAGUACCCUACUACUUGGAUAACCGUGGUAAUUCUAGAGCUAAUACAUGCUAAAAAUCCCGACUUCGGAAGGGAUGUAUUUAUUAGAUUAAAAACCAAUGCCCUCCGGGGCUUACUGGUGAUUCAUGAUAACUUCUCGAAUCGCAUGGCCUUGUGCCGGCGAUGGUUCAUUCAAAUUUCUUCCCUAUCAACUUUCGAUGUUUGGGUAUUGGCCAAACAUGGUUGCAACGGGUAACGGAGGGUUAGGGCUCGACCCCGGAGAAGGAGCCUGAGAAACGGCUACUACAUCCAAGGAAGGCAGCAGGCGCGCAAAUUACCCAAUCCCGACACGGGGAGGUAGUGACAAUAAAUACUGAUACAAGGCUCUUUUGGGUCUUGUAAUUGGAAUGAGUACAAUUUAAAUCCCUUAACGAGGAACAAUUGGAGGGCAAGUCUGGUGCCAGCAGCCGCGGUAAUUCCAGCUCCAAUAGCGUAUAUUAAAGUUGUUGUGGUUAAAAAGCUCGUAGUUGAACCUUGGGCCUGGCUGGCCGGUCCGCCUCACCGCGUGUACUGGUCCGGCCGGGCCUUUCCCUCUGUGGAACCUCAUGCCCUUCACUGGGUGUGGCGGGGAAACAGGACUUUUACUGUGAAAAAAUUAGAGUGCUCCAGGCAGGCCUAUGCUCGAAUACAUUAGCAUGGAAUAAUAGAAUAGGACGUGUGGUUCUAUUUUGUUGGUUUCUAGGACCGCCGUAAUGAUUAAUAGGGACAGUCGGGGGCAUCAGUAUUCAAUUGUCAGAGGUGAAAUUCUUGGAUUUAUUGAAGACUAACUACUGCGAAAGCAUUUGCCAAGGAUGUUUUCAUUAAUCAGGAACGAAAGUUAGGGGAUCGAAGACGAUCAGAUACCGUCGUAGUCUUAACCAUAAACUAUGCCGACUAGGGAUCGGACGGUGUUAUAUUUUGACCCGUUC